CCUACGGGAGGCAGCAGUGAGGAAUAUUGGUCAAUGGCCGGAAGGCUGAACCAGCCAAGCCGCGUGAAGGACGAAGGUGCCAAGCAUUGUAAACUUCUUUUGUCAAGGGACAAAAUCAGGCUCGAGAGCCUGACCGAGGGUACUUGAAGAAAAAGCAUCGGCUAACUCCGUGCCAGCAGCCGCGGUAAUACGGAGGAUGCGAGCGUUAUCCGGAUUUCUUGGGUUUAAAGGUUGCGUAGGCGGGCUGUUAAGUCAGCGGUAAAAGCCCGGGGCUCAACCCCGGGGAGCCGUUGAAACUGGCUGUCGUGAGAGGGCGAGAGGUAUGCGGAAUGCGCAGUGUAGCGGUGAAAUGCUUAGAUAUUGCGCAGAACUCCGAGUGCGAAGGCAGCAUACCGGCGGCGAUCUGACGCUGAGGCACGAAAGCGUGGGUAUCGAACAGGAUUAGAUACACGAGUAGUC
rnacentral:rRNA from 1 species